AGAGCGAACGCUGGCGGCAGGCCUAACACAUGCAAGUCGAGCGCGUGUAGCAAUACACGAGCGGCAGACGGGAGAGUAACACGUGGGAACGCGCCCUUCGGUUCGGAAUAACUCAGGGAAACUUGAGCUAAUACCGGAUACGCCCUUACGGGGAAAGAUUUAUUGCCGAAGGAACGGCCCGCGUCCGAUUAGCUAGUUGGUGAGGUAACGGCUCACCAAGGCGACGAUCGGUAGCUGGUCUGAGAGGAUGACCAGCCUCACUGGGACUGAGACACGGCCCAGACUCCUACGGGAGGCAGCAGUGGGAAUAUGGACAAUGGGCGCAAGCCUGAUCCAGCCAUGCCGCGUGGAUGAUGAAGGCCUUAGGGUUGUAAAGUCCUUUUAACGGGGAAGAUAAUGACGGUACCGUAGAAUAAGCCCCGGCUAACUUCGCGCCAGCAGCCGC
rnacentral:rRNA from 1 species